rnacentral:rRNA from 2 species
UGGGGAAUAUUGCGCAAUGGAGGAAACUCUGACGCAGCGACGCCGCGUGAAGGAUGAAGGUCUUCGGAUUGUAAACUUCUUUGAUCAGGGAAGAAAGAAAUGACGGUACCUGAAAAACAAGCCACGGCUAACUACGUGCCAGCAGCCGCGGUAAUACGUAGGUGGCAAGCGUUGUCCGGAUUUACUGGGUGUAAAGGGCGUGUAGGCGGGGAUGCAAGUCAGAUGUGAAAUCCCGCGGCUCAACCGCGGAACUGCAUCUGAAACUGCGUCUCUUGAGUGGCGGAGGGGAAAGGGGAAUUCCCAGUGUAGCGGUGAAAUGCGUAGAGAUUGGGAGGAACACCAGUGGCGAAGGCGGCUUUCUGGACGAUAACUGACGCUGAGGCGCGAAAGCGUGGGUAGCAAACAGG